rnacentral:rRNA from 1 species
UUCGGGAGGACGCUUACCACUUUGUGGUUCAUGACUGGGGUGAAGUCGUAACAAGGUAGCGCUAGGGGAACCUGGCGCUGGAUCACCUCCUUA